rnacentral:misc_RNA from 1 species
GAAAUUCUAAGAAGGAAGAGAUUGCAACAAUAGCAAUGAUAUUAUGAAAGGAAAACUACUAAAAUUUCAAAUUGAUGAAAAAAAAAGAGAAGGGAAUUGUGUUAGAUUUCCUUUGAUGAUCUUUUCUAAUAAUUCAAAAUUCAAAGAAUAAAAGUUGGUAAUUGUGGAUUUCUUGAAAGAGGAAACUGAUAAAAUAGAAUUGAUGAAAAAGAAAAGGCCAAGAGACAAUGAUGGCUUGGGUUUUUUUUCGGUAAAAGUAUUUUUAUGUCACUGCUGAUACCAUUCUUUUGAUAGAGUAGUAAAGAAUUUGGAAUUUUUUUUAUAAAAUUACCAAUAAACCCUAAAAACUUUUAAAAUACUGUGGGGCUGGUGGCCUAUCAAAAUCUGGUAGGCAAAAGAAGAAAAUUCUGUGCCAGAGGCCCAAUGCCCCUUUUGGCCCAUGAGUAGGUCCGUCACUGACCACAGAGAAAAUUACCAUAAAUUAUACUUACACUAUGUUUUGAUAGGUGAAAAAGGGGGAAGAAGGAAAAUAAUUAGAGGAAAAUCACUUUGAAAAGACACUUUACUUUGUUUGGAUAAGAGAGGGAAAAU